CAGUCGCCACGGUAAUACGGAAGGUCCAGGCGUUAUCCGGAUUUGUUGGGUUUAAAGGGAGUGUAGGCGGUCUGUUAAGCGUGUUGUGAAAUUUAGGUGCUCAACAUCUAACUUGCAGCGCGAACUGGCGGACUUGAGUGCACGCAACGUAUGCGGAAUUCAUGGUGUAGCGGUGAAAUGCUUAGAUAUCAUGACGAACUCCGAUUGCGAAGGCAGCGUACGGGAGUGUUACUGACGCUUAAGCUCGAAGGUGCGGGUAUCGAACAGGAUUAGAUACCCCAGUAGUCCCUGUCUCUUAUAC
rnacentral:rRNA from 1 species